GCAAGCAUAGUUUCAACCAAAACAUUAGAUUGUGAUUCUAAAAAUAGAAGUUAAACCCUUCUUGCUUACC
rnacentral:tRNA from 1 species